UGAAUUUCCCUUGCUGCCCUUC
rnacentral:piRNA from 1 species